rnacentral:rRNA from 1 species
GAACGCCCCGCAAGGGGAGUGGCAGACGGGUGAGUAACACGUGGGAACGUGCCCAAAGGUACGGAACAACUCCGGGAAACUGGAGCUAAUACCGUAUGUGUCCGUAAGGAGAAAGAUUUAUCGCCUUUGGAUCGGCCCGCGUCGGAUUAGCUGGUUGGUGGGGUAAAAGCCUACCAAGGCGACGAUCCGUAGCUGGUUUGAGAGAACGACCAGCCACACUGGGACUGAGACACGGCCCAGACUCCUACGGGAGGCAGCAGUGGGGAAUCUUGGACAAUGGGCGCAAGCCUGAUCCAGCCAUGCCGCGUGGAUGAUGAAGGCCUUAGGGUUGUAAAAUCCUUUCGUUGGGGACGAUAAUGACGGUACCCAAAGAAGAAGCUCCGGCUAACUUCGUG